UACAGGGGGGGCAAGCGUUGUUCGGAAUUACUGGGCGUAAAGGGCUCGUAGGCGGCCAACUAAGUCACACGUGAAAUCCCCAGGCUUAACCUGGGAACUGCGUGUGAUACUGGAUGGCUUGAGGCCGGGAGAGGGUAGUGGAAUUCCCAGUGUAGCGGUGAAAUGCGUAGAUACUGGGAGGAACACCGGUGGCGAAGGCGGCUACCUGGACCGGUUCUGACGCUGAGGCGCGAAAGCGUGGGUAGCAAACAGG
rnacentral:rRNA from 1 species